rnacentral:rRNA from 1 species
UACGAAGGGGCGAGCGUUGUUCGGAUUUACUGGGCGUAAAGGGCGCGCAGGCGGCUCAUUUUGUCAGGCGUGAAAGCCCGGGCUCAACCUGGGAAUUGCAUUCGAUACUGUGUGGCUAGAGUUCGGCAGAGGGAAGUGGAAUUUCUGGUGUAGCGGUGAAAUGCGUAGAUAUCAGAAGGAACAUCAGUGGCGAAAGCGACUUCCUGGACUGAUACUGACACUGAGGUGCGAAAGCGUGGGGAGCAAACAGG